CCCCUAGCACUUCUCAACAUUAAAUCUUAUAUUUUGUUAUACAGUUAAACAUUUAGUUUCACAAAUCCGAUUUACAACACUGGAAUUUGCAAGGCAUAAUGAAAAGUGGAGACGGUGGAGGGGGAGGGAAGAGCAGUGUCAGAAAGAAGGGCGUUUAAGAGGAGGAAGCGUAAGAGAAGAGCGUGGUUGUUGACAGGGACAAGUUAACUACUUUAUUACCAGUACUAGUAUUUUGAAAAUCCAACGGCGUUGACACUUUGCCACCUAUGUUGCCAAUAAGCGUCUAGUCUUUUCAAACGAGUGUGGGCCCCACUCUCACCCUGGGCUCAUGAUUAAUCAUCAUCGUCAUCUCAUCCGUCCAUUUCAAUCUAAUCAAAACAGUGAAUACCUACCUCUAUGCUCUCCACCCUCACCUUAGUAAAUAGUGUAUUGGAUCCUGCCCUGCUGAGUGCUGAGUAGUGAGUGGUGCCUACUAUAACUGUAAUUCGGCACUCACCUGGAUCAUGGAGGAGUGGAGUGAGUUGUGAUGACUCCGACUGCGCGAGCACACCAAUUAAUGCUGGGAUGGAGAACACUCUAUUCGUCGCCAGGGAUCCAAUAUUAAUUACUAUAUUUUAUAUUUUGGCUUGCACUGUACAGCCUAAUAAACGUGCAUCUACUAUCAAUCCAGGUGCCAUCAAGUGUUGCUUUGAAAAGAAUUAAGCGGGGACUGAGAAAGAGAAUAGAACGGCGUCAAAAAGGGAUGAGUAACGAUUAAACAACGCGAAACAACACUCAUGAGUGAUGACAUAGGAGCGAUCAUCAUUCUGCAAGUUAAAAGGAAGGGUACCUAAGGUGAUAACUGAUGACUAACGGAGUAUGUUUGUUUGAGCGUUAUUAAAUCAAUAAAAAAAUUUUAA